rnacentral:rRNA from 1 species
CGCCAGACUCCUACGGGAGGCAGCAGUCGGGAAUAUUGCGCAAUGGAGGAAACUCUGACGCAGUGACGCCGCGUAUAGGAAGAAGGUUUUCGGAUUGUAAACUAUUGUCGUUAGGGAAGAUAAAAGACUGUACCUAAGGAGGAAGCCCCGGCUAACUAUGUGCCAGCAGCCGCGGUAAUACGUAGGUGGCGAGCGUUGUCCGGAAUUACUGGGUGUAAAGGGAGCGUAGGCGGGAGAGCAAGUCGACUGUGAAAUCUAUGGGCUUAACCCAUAGCUGCGAUCGAAACUGUUCAUCUUGAGUGAAGUAGAGGCAGGCGGAAUUCCUAGUGUAGCGGUGAAAUGCGUAAAUAUUAGGAGGAACACCAGUGGCGAAGGCGGCCUGCUGGGCUUUAACUGACGCUGAGGCUCGAAAGCGUGGGUAGCAAACAGGAUUAGAUACCCGUGUAAA